rnacentral:rRNA from 1 species
AUUGAACGCUGGCGGCAGGCCUAACACAUGCAAGUCGAACGGUAACAGGAAGAAGCUUGCUUCUUUGCUGACGAGUGGCGGACGGGUGAGUAAUGUCUGGGAAACUGCCUGAUGGAGGGGGAUAACUGCUGGAAACGGUAGCUAAUACCGCAUAACGUCGCAAGACCAAAGAGGGGGACCUUCGGGCCUCUUGCCAUCGGAUGUGCCCAGAUGGGAUUAGCUAGUAGGUGGGGUAACGGCUCACCUAGGCGACGAUCCCUAGCUGGUCUGAGAGGAUGACCAGCCACACUGGAACUGAGACACGGUCCAGACUCCUACGGGAGGCAGCAGUGGGGAAUAUUGCACAAUGGGCGCAAGCCUGAUGCAGCCAUGCCGCGUGUAUGAAGAAGGCCUUCGGGUUGUAAAGUACUUUCAGCGGGGAGGAAGGGAGUAAAGUUAAUACCUUUGCUCAUUGACGUUACCCGCAGAAGAAGCACCGGCUAACUCCGUG